rnacentral:rRNA from 1 species
CCUACGGGGGGCUGCAGUGAGGAAUAUUGGUCAAUGGGCUUACGCCUGAACCAGCCAAGUCGCGUGAGGGAAGACUGCCCUAUGGGUUGUAAACCUCUUUUGUCAGGGAGCAAUUGGCGCUACGUGUAGCGUUAUCGAGAGUACCUGAAGAAAAAGAAUCGGCUAACUCCGUGCCAGCAGCCGCGGUAAUACGGAGGAUGCGAGCGUUAUCCGGCUUGAUUGGGUUAAAGGGGUGCGUAGGCGGAAUGCCAAGUCAGCGGUAAAGUCGCGGGGCUAAACCUCGCUUCGCCGUUGAAACUGGCGUUCUUGAGUGGGCGAGAGGUGUGCGGAAUGCGUGGUGUAGCGGUGAAAUGCAUAGAUAUCACGCAGAACUCCGAUUGCGAAGGCAGCAUACCGGCGCCCAACUGACGCUGAAGCACGAAAGCGUGGGUAUCGAACAGGAUUAGAUACCCUUGUAGUC